CGGGAUGUAGCUCAGUGGUAAAGCAUUUGCCUAACAUGUGCAAGGACUUGGGUUUGAUCCCCAGCACCAUGA
rnacentral:tRNA from 1 species